UAAGGCGGAUGUUGAUACUCUCUAUCUUCCAUUGCUUUAUCAUGUUGAAGAAAUAAAAGAUUAUGUUUGGGGUGCUGCUGCUCUUGCACACCUAUAUAUUUCUAUGAAAAAUAUUAAUGAAGUGGGUAUAAAGCAUAUGCACGGUAUUGCAUUGUCCCUGCAGGUAAGUUAUUUUAUAUUUCUGUUCUCCAAUUAAAAAAGUAUUUCCUUUUAACAAUUGAGAAAUAAGUGUCACUUCUUUUUGUUGUGAUUUGCUAGGUCUUUGUAUUCCUACAUCUGACAAAGAUCAAGGGCUUGCUAUCGAGUAUAAAUUUUGCAAAAAUAAACAACUUCCGUUGAUCAAUGAUUGGUCACAUCAUUUACAACAAUUUACCUUGAACAAAAGUAAAAAGAUAGAUUAUUCGGAUUUAAUUAAGACAAUUACUGCUAAAGAGGUAAGCCUGGUAAUUUAAG
rnacentral:lncRNA from 1 species